rnacentral:lncRNA from 1 species
UGGGAGGCCGAGGCAAGAGAACUGUUAAAGGUCAGGAGUUGGAGACCAACCAGCCCAAGGAAUAUAUAGGGAGACCCUAUCUCUUAAAAAAAAAAUUACCUGGGCAUGGUGGCAUGUGCCUGUGGUUCCAGUUACUCAGGAGGCUGAGGCAUAGGAUUGCUUGAGCCCAGGAGUUUGAGGCUGCACUGAGCUAUGAUCACACCACUGCAUUGCAGACUAGGUACAGAGCGAGUCUAUGUGGAGUGCAGUGUCUCUAAAAAAAAAAAAAAUACCCAAAAUAUAAACAGUAAAGACUAUGAAGUAUGUACAGGAAAUUAAUAGCUGAAGAAUAUUUUACCAUGUUCAAAAACAAAAUUCUUCAUGUGGCUAAGAAAGAAAAAAAACGGUAUGUUUGUGUUCCAUUUGCAGGUAUUACAUAAACCCAUUUUAAAUGAACUAAAAUGCCUAGGAUUUGGAGGGGAAAAAAAUUAUCUCAUGCUCACAUUUGAAGUUUCUUCUCAGAAAUAAACCAUUUAAAGAGA